rnacentral:rRNA from 1 species
UUCCAGACUCCUACGGGAGGCAGCAGUGAGGAAUAUUGGUCAAUGGUCGUAAGACUGAACCAGCCAAGUAGCGUGCAGGAUGACGGCCCUAUGGGUUGUAAACUGCUUUUAUGCGGGGAUAAAAUGCGUCACGUGUGAUGUUUUGUAGGUACCGCAUGAAUAAGGACCGGCUAAUUCCGUGCCAGCAGCCGCGGUAAUACGGAGGAUGCGAGCGUUAUCCGGAUUUAUUGGGUUUAAAGGGUGCGUAGGCGGAAUAUCAAGUCAGCGGUAAAAAUUCGGGGCUCAACCCCGUCGUGCCGUUGAAACUGAUGUUCUUGAGUGGGCGAGAAGUAUGCGGAAUGCGUGGUGUAGCGGUGAAAUGCAUAGAUAUCACGCAGAACUCCGAUUGCGAAGGCAGCAUACCGGCGCCCAACUGACGCUGAAGCACGAAAGCGUGGGGAUCGAACAGGAUUAGAUACCCGGGUA